UACGUAGGGUGCAAGCGUUGUCCGGAAUUAUUGGGCGUAAAGAGCUCGUAGGCGGUCUGUCGCGUCUGCUGUGAAAACUCAGGGCUUAACCCUGAGCUUGCAGUGGGUACGGGCAGACUAGAGUGCGGUAGGGGAGUGUGGAAUUCCCGGUGUAGCGGUGAAAUGCGCAGAUAUCGGGAGGAACACCAGUAGCGAAGGCGGCACUCUGGGCCGGUACUGACGCUGAGGAGCGAAAGCGUGGGGAGCAAACAGG
rnacentral:rRNA from 1 species